AGGGAUCAUUAACACGUAUCCACGUAUCAACCAAACGCGAACUCGGAGCUUCACGGCUCCAAUUCUCCCUGUUAGAGAUCUGCUGUUAAGUAGUGUUUUGUAGUGGGUGUAAACGAAAGUUUGCACGACACGACUUAACUCGAGGCUCGACCUCAAGGCAAUCUUUUUCAGGUAUUUCUUUACCACUACUAACAAUAACCCCUUUCACCUUUUUAAUACCAAUUGACUGAUUUGUUUCCUUGAGAGAAAUCUCAUGUGAAUACGAUAUUCUAACUAAAAGCACAACUCUUAGCAAUGGAUAUCUUGGUUCUC
rnacentral:misc_RNA from 1 species